UCUUUGGACCCAGCGCAGUGUGCAGUUUGCAGACAACCUGGGAAACUUCUGGCAUGGUUGGUGCCAGGCUCCUGGUAGCAGUGAGCAGAGUGCCCUCCUGGCCACUGCCCUGUGCUCCCAGCCCCACGGGACAGGCUGUGGAGGACAUCUAGGCUGGGUUACCCCCUCUGUGGUGUUCCCACUGCCUCUUUGGGGCACUUGGUGUCUGACUCUAAUUCUAUGGGAAGAGAGAGGUUGUAGGCUGUGGGACUGCAACUAUCAGGCAGCCUUGCUGCCCUGACAGUGGGAUCUGCGACCCACCCAGGCUGUGUUUUGUGUAUCCACAGAUAACACAUCCGCGGUGCUAAGCUCUGGAGAGGCGUUUCACAGCGAAACACCAUGAGCAUUGACCUAAGACGCUGCUUUCUGCUCCGCAGGCCGAGUCCUCUGGAACUCCGGCUUGCCUGCUCCCAGGAGAGGGCAGUGGAGCCGCACACGCUCCGUGCCGCGGCCGGCGGGCCGCUCCGUUCCUGCGGGGCUGCGCGAGGCAUGCAUCCUAAGACAACAAGGAGCCUUGGCUGAAAACAGCAGAGUGUGGUUUUAAGCUACGCUCCUGUCUCGCCUGCAUUCUGCAGUGACUGGAGAAGCACUGAAACUGGAACAUCACCAAAGGCACUGAAACAAAAACUGAGCAAUUGAGACAGCCUUUCUCAGCUGGGCACAAGGUGCUGCAGGACUGGAGCGGAGCCUGUGAGGCAGAUGACAGUACUUGAGACCACCACGGAGGUAAGUCCGCGCUCCGUAGAGACACCUGGGCAUAUGCUGUAAUGGGCUCAAACCCACAAAUAUUUUGAUCUGCAGUUAAAAAUGCAAGGCAGAAAUUUGUUUAGCCUUUUAGUGUAUGCUUUGGCUUGUUGCUUCAGAGGAAGAGUGUGCUUUUGUGGCAUCUCAUACGUGGCUGUGUCUUAGUGCUGCUUGGGCUGUUGAUGUUUUUUAUUCCUGCAUGUCUCUGGAAAGGGGCCUUGCACACUACAGAUCAUACGGGAGAGUUGUUUUCCUAAAAGUGGGAAUAAACAGUCAGGAGAUGAAAUAUUCCUAAGUAAUGAGAUUAGAGACAAGAAUGUAACAUGGGAUGCGGCUUUCUACAAUAAUUACAUCUGACACCCUCAUCAGCAAGAAGAUGUAGGGGCUGCGAGCUCUGAGCUUGGGAACAGCAUAUGAAAGACUGGCUUCUCUUGGGAAGGGAGGCACAGGGGAGGUUAUUUUUAGCACUCGGAAAAAAGAAAAAAA